rnacentral:rRNA from 1 species
GACGAACGCUGGCGGCGUGCUUAACACAUGCAAGUCGAACGAGUGGCGAACGGGUGAGUAAUGUAUGGGGAUCUGCCCGAUAGACGGGGAUAACUACUGGAAACGGUGGCUAAUACCGCAUACUAUCGGCCGACCCCAUAUGGGAUUAGACAGUAGGUGGGGUAAAGGCCCACCUAGGCGACGAUCUCUAGCUGGUCUUAGAGGAUGAUCCGCCGCACUGGGACGUAGACACGGACCAGACUCCGAGGUGAGGCAGCAGUGGGGAAUAUUGCACAAUGGGCGCAAGCCUGAUGCAGCCAUGCCGCGUGUAUGAAGAAGGCCUUAGGGUUGUAAAGUACUUUCAGCGGGGAGGCGUUACCCGCAGAAGAAGCCCCGGCUAACUCCGUGCCAGCAGCCGCGGUAAUAC